GCGGACCGCGCUGGGUACAACGCCUCGUGUUGGAAAGAGUUCUCCUGUCGCCUCUGGCCGCUGAAAUAUUCCGGAGUAUGACUGGGAAGGCUGGAAACAACGAGAAUGAUAAUACUAUAUUUCUGGAGGGCACAGAAGAGUGUGAGAAAGGACAUAUGUAUAACAUCUCCCAAUCUGUAUGCAGAGCGGUGCCUGAAGGUGAUAUCCUACACAUUGAUUGGCCAUCACUAGAACAAAGUUGCAUUCAAGACAAUUGCUUCAAAGAAGGCCUUACACAGACGGAACAGUUCGUUAGAAGAAAAAUCACCUACGUCCAUACAGAACACCCUGGAGAAAAGGAUCUAAAUCGAACUGGCUGCUGUACAGAACUUCUUAAAAUGAGUGGAUUCGCUCGCUGACAAUGUACAGUUGAAGCCAAAGAUAUAAUUGAAAGCUACUGGAAAGAAGAAUUUUAAACAUCAAAAUAAUGUUACAGAAAGUGUGAAUUCUCUAGUGACGGUAAAAAUGAAGUGGUCCAUUGGCAAACAUGUAAAAAUAUACAUCAACAAAAAACAGAAUGAAAUAAAAUAAGCAAGAAAAAAAAACAGCACCAGUAAUCAGACGGUAGAGGCACAAACCUACGAAGAGGAAGACAGGAAUCUUAUAGAAUUAUAUACAACAAUCUUCUUCUGCUAAGUUUUGUGUUCCCUUCAUACAUUUGGAGUUCACGGUUUUCUAAGGAAAAGUGCUAACCACGUCCACAUUUUUACUUCAUAAACCAUUUCUUUUAAAUUACAAGAGGAUCAAAAAGAGAGAAGUUUUAAACAAGAAAAUUUACAAAUACUUGGACUAUAUGUAUACCCACAUAAAAACAAAACAGUUACCUAGAUUUGAUUCUAAAGAGACAUUUAAUAGGUAGAUUUCUUUUUGUUGUUGUACAAAAACAAAAUAAAAGAGAGUAAUGUUAAUAUAGGUAGUUUCCCAAGUGUCAAGAAGCAGAAGAAAGAAACAGUUUACUUAGAUGUUUGUUUCUUGUUUCAAUGUAUAGUCUAUUAUGUUAAUUUUUACAUUUUCCUCUAAAUUUGUGUAACAGUGCGGUCAGAUUACUUUCUUUCUUUCUUUCCCUCUUUCUUUUCUUUUCUUUUCUUUCCUUUUUCCUUUCCCUCUCUUUCUAUUCAGUUCCAUUCUCUCCCUUCCAUUUCCACUUUCAUCCCUUCUUUUUCUUUCACUCUUCUUCAUCUUCUUCAGCCUCUGGUUUUUCCUGGCUAUUUGAGCCUGGUCCUGCAGGUUUGUUUUCUUUUUUCCACUUCAUCCGUCUGUUCUGGAACCAGAUUUUGAUCUGUCUUUCUGUAAGACAUAAAGCAUGGGCUAUCUCAAUGCGUCGUCUUCUGGUCAAGUAACGGUUGUAAUGGAAUUCCUUCUCCAGUUCCAGGGUCUGGUAUCUGGUAUAGGUCUGGCGGCCUCUCUUUCUGUCAGUUCCUGAAAAAUAAUAAAAUAGAAUUUUACAAGCUUA